CUUGGAGAUUGUUGAACGCAGCUU
rnacentral:piRNA from 1 species